rnacentral:rRNA from 1 species
GUGGGGAAAAUUGGACAAUGGGGGGAACCCUGAUCCAGCCAUGCCGCGUGUGUGAAGAAGGCCUUUUGGUUGUAAAGCACUUUAAGCGAGGAGGAGGCUACCGAGAUUAAUACUCUUGGAUAGUGGACGUUACUCGCAGAAUAAGCACCGGCUAACUCUGUGCCAGCAGCCGCGGUAAUACAGAGGGUGCAAGCGUUAAUCGGAUUUACUGGGCGUAAAGCGCGCGUAGGUGGCCAAUUAAGUCAAAUGUGAAAUCCCCGAGCUUAACUUGGGAAUUGCAUUCGAUACUGGUUGGCUAGAGUAUGGGAGAGGAUGGUAGAAUUCCAGGUGUAGCGGUGAAAUGCGUAGAGAUCUGGAGGAAUACCGAUGGCGAAGGCAGCCAUCUGGCCUAAUACUGACACUGAGGUGCGAAAGCAUGGGGAGCAAACAGGAUUAGAAACCCUAGUAGUCC